GGCCGUGUGGUGUAGUGGUAGCAUACUUGCUUUGGGUUCUGAAUUCAGCCUGCAAGUGGUCCCAGGUUCAAGCCCUGGCUCGGCCC